GAGCGAUUCGGCGCCAACAAUGAUCGGGGCUCAAGCGUACCACCGAAGUUGUGGGUCUUCAGGCCGCAAGGUCUGGAGGCGGUAGGGGAGCGUUCCGCAGUAGGUUGAAGGUCCAUCGUUAGAUGGGCUGGUCGAGGCGGAAGUGAGUAUGUCGGAAUGAGUAGCGAUAAACUCCGCGAGAAACGGAGUCGCCGUAAGCCUAAGGUUUCCUGGGCAAGGUUAACCCACCCAGGGUGAGUCGGUCCUAAGCUAAGGCAAAAUGGCGUCAGCGAUGGACAAGCCGCGAACAUUCGGCUACCACUCCUGCUGCGCUUGACGGGCGACGAUGACGCAGGAAGCUAGACCAUCCGGGUGUUGGAUGUCCCGGUCUAAGCUGGUAGUUCCGCCGCAAGGCGGGAUGAAAGGUGAUGGGGAGCGGAGGCUACGGCCGACGUAAACUGGUUCACGCUCUGCUGCCUAGAAAAUUCACGGCUGAAGUUCCGUCAGUGACCGUACCGCAAUCCGACACAGGUAGGCAGGUCGAAUAGACCAAGGCGCUCGAGUGACCCCUCGUUAAGGAACUCGGCAAAAUGGCCCCGUAACUUCGGGAGAAGGGGUGUCUUGCCCUGUGAAGUCCUUCGUGGAUGGAGCGGGGUGAGAUCACAGUAAAGAGGCCCAUAUGACUGUUUAGUAAAAACACAGGUCUGUGCGAAGCCGUACAGGCACGGUAUACAGACUGACACCUGCCCAAUGCCAGACGGUUAAGGAGCGGUGUGACGGCCCGCAAGGGUCGAGGCAUCAACCCGAAGCCCUGGUGAAUGGCGGCCGUAACUAUAACGGUCCUAAGGUAGCGAAAUUCCUUGUCGGGUAAGUUCCGACGCGCACGAAUGGUGUAACAAUAUGGGCGCUGUCUCAACGGGGGACUCGGCGAAAUUGUGGUCGCAGUGAAGACGCUGCGUGCCCGCAUGUAGACGAAAAGACCCCAGAACCUUUACUGCAACCUGACAUUGAACAGGUGAUUAAGCUGUGUAGGAUAGGUGGGAGGCGUUGAAACCCGGCCGCUAGGUCGGGUGGAGCCGACGGUGAAAUACCACCCUGCUUGCUCGCGUGUUCUCACGUCGAAGGCCUGAACCGGCCCGACGGACAGUGCCAGGCGGGCAGUUUGACUGGGGCGGUUCCCUCCCAAAUGGUAACGGAGGGGCCCAAAGGUGCCCUCAGCGCGGUCGGCAAUCGCGCGAUGAGUGUAAAGGCAGAAGGGCGCUUGACUGCGAGAGUGUCUACUCGAGCAGGGACGAAAGUCGGGCUUAAUGAUCCGGCGGUGGAAGGUGGUAUCGCCGUCGCUCAACGGAUAAUAGGUACUCUGGGGAUAACAGGCUUAUCGGAUCUGAGAGUUCAUAUCGACGAUCCGGUUUGGCACCUCGAUGUCGGCUCAUCGCAUCCUGCGGCUGGAGAAGGUCGCAAGGGUCCGGCUGUUCGCCGGUUAAAGCGGUACGCGAGCUGGGUUUAGAACGUAGGUAACACUGCGUCUCCCGGGAGUAAUCCUGGGAUGUCUAU
rnacentral:rRNA from 1 species